rnacentral:lncRNA from 1 species
GAGCAUAUAUCAAGCAUGCAAUCCGUCUAUGGUAUUAAGAUCAAAUCUAAACAUGCAUGACUCAUUAAGCUUGUGAAACCUUUUGAAAAAUCAUACGACCCUUAAGACGUGAUAUUCAUCAUAAGUGAACUUGCACAUAUUAAUCACAAGAAGCCUUCGUCAAUUUCAGGGACCGACCUCCGACCAAAAUUGCAUCAAUUUACUUUUUCUAAAGAUCCUAAUGGUAGCUAAGCAUUAAGACAAUUAGAUAGUUUAAACAGUGAUUAAUAAUUCAAAACUUGCAUGCAUAAUAUUAUAAGAAAAUUGAAAAGAAACUACAUAUUCUUGCUAAGGCUCGUGGCCUCGCCCUAGCAAACGGAAAUUAGUUAUUAACAAUCAUAAAACAAAAUAUUAAUAAAAACAAUGAUAGAAACACUUUGAAAAUAAACUUGAAUCCAGAAGCUCUCUAAAGUGUGCGUGCGUUCUCUUCUUUCCGUAUCUUCUCUAAAAAAGCCCUAAUGGCUGAAAAGCCUUAUUUAUACUACUAGAAAAUAAAACCCUACCUAGAAAAGGUCUUAGAAUAAAACUAGGAAACCAAAUAAAUUAAAAUAAAUUAGGAAACAUAAUCCUAAAUCGACUAGUAAAAUUUGCCCAAAACCUGCAUAGUCUCAAAAUAGCCACGUUUCUGGAUCUUCAGGCUCCAAAACAGGCCCCAAAUGGUUAAAAUUAAAGCUUGAGAUGUCCCGAACAUAAUUGUAGAAGGCCUCGAACCCAAAAAACAUCAUCGUGGAGGCCAAAAAGCCCAAAGAAACCCAAAACGUUACUUUGACAGCACUGCGCGCUGCUCCUUUAUUUCAUCGCCAUAAAUAAACCGCUCGGUAUAAAAUUAUGAAACUUUGAACAAUCAAUUCAACAGACUCACGAACAUCCUCCAAUUGGAAUCACUCCAAAAUUCAUCCGUUUGACUACUUUUUGCUCCAGAGGAAGUCGAAUGUCCUACAUUAAGAUUAUAAACAAAGUAUCAAAAUUCUCACAAAAUAACCAAUAAAUUAAUACUAAGAAUAUGGUAAAAUAUAUAGUAUAAAAUCAACUCAUCAGAAUACCCUCAAGCAAAAUAAAACUAGAAAACAAAAAUAAAAACUAACAAACUAGAAACUUAACUAAGACAAAUUUUCACCUUCAAGUCCCAAGCCAUAGAAAAUGUUAAAAAUUAGAACAUCUUUCCAAAAGUUCCAACUAAUCCCACCACAAAGUCUAAGCCAUUCACAAUCAAUUAGAAAAGAAUUUAUGAACUUCCUUUGGUGUAAAGUGAACCAACAUGGUUAAAGAGACUCGACUAAAACCCUUACCUCUUGUCCAUUUAUUUCACACAUACUGAAUUCAAAUAUAACUUCUUCUUUUUUCAGUAACAGUAGUGGUCGUGCAAUGUCGGUUCACUUAACUUUUCAAUCCAACCCAUGUAGCAAGCUUUAGGUCAAUGACUCCCAAGCCACAAAGGCUUUAAUGCACAAGGUGUAGAACACUCCUAAAUACUUACUAACUCGAGCUGAAAAGGCUACGAAACCAACUAACCACCCUGCCCCAUGCCAAGACUCUACCAUUUGACGCGAGAAUCAUUACUGAUCAGGCAGGACUAGCCCGGUUACUAAGCAAAGUCUCGGGUGGAACAAUUAUUACUUUAUUUAUAACACAUACUAAACUUUACUUUACUUUACUUAGAAUAACAAUUAAAAUACGCUUAGACAAAAAGUAAGUGUUCAAUCUCACUCCCCACAAACCAUGUUGGUGUGAAUAUGCAAAUUUUCAAAGUAUAACUCAUGAAUUAGUGUCUAAGCAACGAUAAAUAGAAAAGACUCUAUUAUAGGAUUAACCUUCACCAUGUCCAUUUGUUCUAACGUUUAAAAUAAUCUAUGGAUAUUAACUUCAAAAGAAUGAAAAUUUCAUUUGACUCAAAAAUUAAAAAUUAAAAAUCUAAAAUCUAAAAUUUAUUAUUUUCCACCCCCAAACUUAAAUCACACAUUGUCCUCAAGAUGUGGAAAAUAUAUAAAAUAUAAAAGACAACAAAACACGACAACUAAACCUGAACUAAACAUAAAUAAUUAAAAGACACAAAAGAAAAACAGCAAAAACAACAAAAGGAAAGGUAACAAAAUAAAUAAAUAGUACAGAAAGGAAAAGAGUGCACCUGGUGUGAAUAUGGGCCUAAGGCAUGGAACUUAAGUAAUGAUAGGAAGGGAUCCAAGGUCUUGAGGAGCAAUGCAUUGGGCCAUGGAAAACCAAGUAAAGAUAUGAAGAAUGGCCCACGAAAAUAGAAACAAGGCAACCCAUUUUGCUCCCCUCCACUCGUUUCUCAUUUUCUCGAACACCAGCCUUGCAUUUAUCUCGGUUCUCUCAUCCACAACACAAACAAACACCCUCUAGUUCUUCCGGGAGUCCUAUCUCCUUUAUUUGUUCAUUGAUCUGAAGGAAAAGGUGGAGAUCCACCCCUAAACUUCCGAUCUUGGUGUCGACACACUCAGAGGUAAAAAUUGUCAUUCUCUAAAUUCAAUUUCAAGUCCAAAGCUUAGAUUAAGGAAAAUUAGAGGACGAGUGUCUGAUGUAUGUGUGCUCCUAAUGUAGGAGCUGCAAAAUGCCGAUCUAUCAUAGCAAACAACGGUAAAUGUCUGUAGCCUUUCUGAUCUACAACGGAAAGGUAUACAUUUGUAUCCCUUCAACUCCUAUUUGUGUGUCAUGUAUGAAUAUGAUUUUCGUUUGCUCACAAUUGUCUUCUGUGUUUGUGUAUGUCUCCAUUGAUAUAUGUUGAGCAAAAUAUAUGCAUAUAAAUGGUCCUGAUAACUCUUCUUCUCUGUGCUGCUUGGAUCCCCACCCCCAAACUUCAAUGUAAUUAUUGAAUCAAGUGUGAGAGAGUCAGGAGUGAAAGGGGUCUGGUCUUCUCAGAAUCCCCACUGUGAGUAUCCCUGGACCUUAUCCUGUGCUCCUUUUGUAUCUUAUGCUUGCAUUUGUGUUAAAUUUGACUCCCAUGAAUAUUCUUAUGAAUGUGAUGAUUUUGUUGUGAUGAAUGCAUACUGAAAUGAAUGGAUGAAUGUAUAAAUCCACGAGUAGUUGAGAUUAGAACGAAUCAGUUCCGAAUGCAACAUGCAAUCACAAAUCAAAAACCUAAUUAGAUAAGUAAAGAAAAAUAACAAGAAUUAAAAAUUGCAAUUUUUUUUUCUUUUUAAUUUUCUGAUUUU